rnacentral:rRNA from 1 species
GAUGAACGCUAGCUACAGGCUUAACACAUGCAAGUCGAGGGGCAGCACAGUGUAGCAAUACACGGGUGGCGACCGGCGCACGGGUGCGUAACACGUAUCCAAUCUGCCCGUUACUCGGGGAUAGCCUUCUGAAAGGAAGAUUAAUACCCGAUGGCAUGUAUUUCCGGCAUCGGAGAUACAUUAAAGAUUUAUCGGUAACGGAUGAGGAUGCGUACGAUUAGCUAGUUGGCGGGGUAACGGCACACCAAGGCGACGAUCGUUAGGGGUUCUGAGAGGAAGGUCCCCCACACUGGAACUGAGACACGGUCCAGACUCCUACGGGAGGCAGCGGUGAGGAAUAUUGGUCAAUGGUCGAGAGACUGAACCAGCCAAGUAGCGUGAAGGAUGACUGCCCUAUGGGUUGUAAACUUCUUUUGUUUGGGAAUAAAGUCAGGUACGUGUACCUGUUUGUAUGUACCAUUCGAAUAAGCAUCGGCUAAUUCCGUGCCAGCCGCCGCAGUAACAC